UCCUAGUUGGUCCAGUGGUUAGGAUCGCCGCCUCUCAUGAGAAAUCAAGCGGCAAUUGUUCGAUUCCCUGAAUACGCG